GGGAAAGGUCAACUGAUAUCCAAUACUGAUAAAAAGAGGAAAACACUAUGUCUACAGAAAACAUUCUCAGAAUAAUAUUUUCACCACUAGUUUGUUAUAAACUAUUUAUGAUAAAUUUUCAUCACCAUACUGGUUCGUAAUAUGGAUCCAUCAAUGAAAAUGGUUCAAGACGAUAAAAGCAACAACAUCAAUAACACUAACGACUCUAGCCAACACAUCCAGACUUCCACACUCCCUAUCUCUCCUCCACAUGCCACUUCUCCGUCUCUCUUUUCCUCCAAGCCUGCUCACCUCCCCUAUCGCCGAGCCCUUCGCCCCAUGCAUGCAUGGCUCCUCCCCCUUCCGGCCUUCCCUACGGUGUUGGUGCCUAGUUGUUUUUUUUCCUUUUAUUUGUUUGGGCCAUAAGUUAAGUUAAGGCUACGGUUGUAAAAUAUGGCAUAUGCACUUGAUUUUCUUGUGGUCAAUAACUCGAGCCCUGUGUCGACCCGCUCUUGCAAGGUUGGAUCACAUUUUCUGACGGGUGAGUCGGCAAGAUCAUUAAUAGGUCUAGUACGUGUCAAGUUAUUAUAUACUACUAGUAUAAAUAGAGGAGAAAAAACACCAUGGCCUUGUUUAGUUCUAAAAUAUUUUGCAAAAUCAACACUGUAGCUCUUUCGUUUGUAUUUGACAAAUAUUGUCCAAUCAUGGACUAACUAGACUCAAAAGAUUCGUCUCGUCAAUUUCGACCAAACUGUGCAAUUAGUUUUUAUUUUUGUCUAUAUUUAAUACUUCAUGCAUAUGUCUAAAGAUUCGAUGUGACGGGGAAUCUGAAAAAUUUUGCAAUUUUUUUUGGAUUACAGAUCAUCUGGAUUAUUCUGGAUACAUAAAACCGGAAAUAGUAAUACAAAACCAUGCAUUGAGAUACUAUGAGAACACAGCAUAAAACCGUUAGAAUAUAUCUUUUAUAUAUUACAAAUAAGACGGAACAAUGAGGAGAAAAAAUGCAGCUAGUAUAUAUGCAUAUGCAUCAUGUUCAAAUUAAUGAUCGGAAUAGUAACCAAUGCAGCACCUGCAUGCGCAGGAGGAGGUCCUGGGACUCUUUCUUCUGGAAGCGGUGGCGGGUGAAGUCCUGACGCAGCCUCUCGACCUCGGCGCGCUCCUCCGGCGUGCCAGCGUCGGCGUCGAACUCCCACACCUGCCUGCCGAGGAAGCCGUUCUCCGAUCACAGCCACGGCC
rnacentral:lncRNA from 1 species